UUCACAACCGAACGUGAAUUAGUGAUCACCAACACAAGGGGAUCAUAAGGGAUCAUGUGGAAAUGGACUCAAGAAAGAAAGGCAAACAGGUCAAAAGGAGGCAAGGGAACGGACACAAAAAGGUACGGGCAUGUCAGCUUCAUGAAGGAAUGAAACUGGAUUUGGAUAAGUGUAUUUAAGAAAGUAUCGCUCGGGUUUCCGCUACCAUUAUCGAAGUGACACGGGCUUAGUUCGAGUUGAGAUCAAGGAUUGUACGGGGUAGAAAGGUCACAUAGUCUGACUCAUAUAGGUCUUGAAGCAUUAAUGUUAUAAAAAGUUGUAAAUCCGUUUUAAUGAUUAUGUGGCAUUUCGUACUCGAACCUUCACGUGAUAGAUUUAUCUAAUUAAGAACGGAAUUCUUGGAUU
rnacentral:lncRNA from 1 species